AUUGAACGCUGGCGGCAGGCCUAACACAUGCAAGUCGAGCGAGCGGCGGACGGGUGAGUAAUGUCUGGGAAACUGCCUGAUGGAGGGGGAUAACUACUGGAAACGGUAGCUAAUACCGCAUACCAUCAGAUGUGCCCAGAUGGGAUUAGCUAGUAGGGGGGGUAAUGGAUCACCUAGGAGACGAUCCAUAGCUGGUCUGAGAGGAUGACCAGCCACACUGGAACUGAGACACGGUCCAGACUCCUACGGGAGGCAGCAGUGGGGAAUAUUGCACAAUGGGCGCAAGCCUGAUGCAGCCAUGCCGCGUGUAUGAAGAAGGCCUUCGGGUUGUAAAGUACUUUCAGCGGGGAGGCGUUACCCGCAGAAGAAGCACCGGCUAACUCCGUGCCAGCCGCGGCGGUAAUAC
rnacentral:rRNA from 1 species